GUGCUCACUUCAGCAGCACAGAUACUAGAACUUGGAACGAUAUAGGGAAGAUUAGCACAGGCCCCUGCUCAAGGAUGACCCGCAAAUUCGUGAAGCAUUCCAUAUUUUA
rnacentral:snRNA from 1 species